UUGGAGGGCAAGUCUGGUGCCAGCAGCCGCGGUAAUUCCAGCUCCAAUAGCGUAUAUUAAAGUUGUUGCAGUUAAAAAGCUCGUAGUUGAACUUCGGGAUCAAUGGAUUGGUCAUGCCGUUGGUAUGUACUGGUCAUAUUGGUUCUCACCUUCUAAGGAACCAUAAUGUCAUUCAUUUGAUGUUUUGGGGAAUUAGGACUGUUACCUUGAAAAAAUUAGAGUGUUUAAAGCAGGCUAACGCUUGAAUACAUUAGCAUGGAAUAAUGAAAUAGGACAUCGCAUUCUAUUUUGUUGGUUUCUAGGAUCGAUGUAAUGAUUAAUAGGGAUAGUUGGGGGCAUUAGUAUUCAAUUGUCAGAGGUGAAAUUCUCGGAUUUAUUGAAGACUAACUACUGCGAAAGCAUUUGCCAAGGAUGUUUUCAUUAAUCAAGAACGAAAGUUAGGGGAUCGAAGACGAUCAGAUACCGUCGUAGUCUUAACCAUAAACUAUGCCGACUAGGGAUCGGAUGAUGUUAAUCUUUUAACGACUCAUUCGGCGCCUUACGGGAAAC
rnacentral:rRNA from 1 species